CUCACGAGAAGCAGUGCAUGGUCAAUACCACCCUAUUCAAGGAGAUCUGCUCGAAGUGAUCAAAGUGUGCUCUCUCACUCUGGGGGUACAGGCAGGGAUGACUGCAGCCUUCAGCAAGUAAUAUACAAGAGAGGUACUGACAGAAGCAGCAAUAUGAGUUUGUCAGAGGUCGUCAAUCUGGAUGGGGAUGGAGGCUUUGGUGGUCAACACAACGAAGAAGCAGAUGUCCCUUCCAGUGAUGUGGAGCUGAUCUUGGACCUCGUACCAUUAAAACUUCUUUGGGAUCUUUGUCCCUUCCACGGGACGGUUGAGCUAAUGUAGGCUAAUGCGAUAAGCAUGAGGUUGUAAGUGCCAGGACAUAGACAUAUCUGAUAUUGGAAGAAAGCUUACAUUCUUAUUAAUCUAACUGCACUGUCCAAUUUACAGUAGCUAUUACAGUGAACUAAUACCAUGCUACUGUUGGGAGGAGAGUGCACAAUUUUGAACAUGAGACGUUAUUAAUAAACAAAUUAGGCAUAUUUAGGCAGUCUUUGAAACAACAUUUUGAACAGAAAUGCAAAGGGUCAUUGGAUCAGUCUAAAACUUUGCACAUACGCUGCUGCCAUCUAGUGGCCAAGAUCUAAAUUGCAACUCUUAAGGAUCCACCCCUUUUUUUCAAUUUUCACCUAAAAUGACAUACCCCAAUCUAACUUUCUGUAACUCAGGCCCUGAAGCAAAAAUAUACAUUUUCUUGGUACCAUUUGAAAGGAAACACUUUGAUGUUUGUGGAGAUGUUAAAGGAAUGUAGGAAUAUAACACAAUAUAUCAUAUUUUGCAAUGUGAGAUAUCACAAUCUCUUUCAAUAAUGAACAGAAUGGAGGAAGUCUUUACUCCAGUGAGAUUGCUGAGGCGAACACCGCCAUGUUUAGUUUUGCCCAACAUAGAUUGAGGCACAGACACGAUGUCAAUCGAUUCCCGGGACCACCCAUACGUAGAAUGUAUGCACACAUGACUGUAUGUCGCUUUGAAUAAAAGCGUCUGCUAAAUGGCAUAUAUUAUUAUAUUAUUAUUAUAGCUGAGCUGACUACACUGACAGUGCUAGUGGCAGACUCCACUAAGCUGGCAGGCUGGCUAACAGCCUGCUGCCUGGCCUGCCUGCUGCCUGGCCUGCCCUCUAUCUCAUUGUGGAGCUAGAUGAGUUAUAGGGCCCUGUCUAUGCGAUAGAUAAGAUGAGAGCACCCCUCCAGCUAGGAUGGAGUCAAUCAAUCCUCAGCUGGCCAGGCUUGGUCCUGUUUGUGGGAGAGUCCCAGAAAGAGGGCCAAUUAUCUACAAAGUAUAUCUUUUGGGAUGUAGUAAACAGUUUUCUACCAGCGAUCUAUCUAAGAGAUGGUUGCCAUUUUACGAUCUAAUAACCAAUUGUGCUAUUGUGUGUGUUUAUCCGCUUUAAUUGUAAUUCAUAUUGUACAUAAUGUUUCUGCAAUCAUCUCUUAUGACCAGAAAGAGCUUCUAGAUAUCAGGACAGCGAUUACUCACCCCGUACUGGAAGAAUAUAUUUUUUUCUUUAACGAGUCGGACGCAAAGGAUUUACUCCAGACACCCGACAAGGCCCUCACCCCAGUCAUUCGCAGGAGAAAGA